UUCUACUUUCACUUAUCUUUCUCUGCUUGGACGGACUGUUCUUGAAGCAUGUAGCAACUAGCAACAACGAUCUUGAUCUGUGUAUGGAGAUUUCACCAAGGUGAGCUCCAUGAGAGGUUGGUUAGUACGGCAACAAGCCUGAGAGACAGCAGCCUCAUGGAUUCAGCUCGCGACCGUGGCGACGGAGCUCAUCGAUUCUGCCCGUCGGUGGCAUAAAUCUUGUCUCGCUGAUGGGGAUGGGGCGCUAGCCUUCUCGAUGCAGCCUGCGGAGAGAUGGGGCGCUCGCGAUUUGCUGGAUCUGCAUGAAAUUUGGAGAUAGAGCUCGAUGCAAACUCAAAUGGCUGAGAUCGAUGGGAUCGGAAUCUUGAAGAUGGACAGUCAUGUUCUGGAGGGAAGAAGAGGAGGCGUGAAAGGGUAUGGACUGAAGAGGUGGACUUGUGAACAGGUUUUGACGGGGUCAGCAGUAUUACGGAUUUGGGUUUGGGCUGGACUUGGCAUGGGCCAGACAAUUAAUUACGAGCUGUAACUAGCGAGCCAUAACUAGCACAAGGUGGAAGAAUUUUCGUACAAAGAUCGGACGGGAAUUGUCGUGUGUGAAGCAAUUCCGGUU